AGAUUGAACGCUGGCGGCAGGCCUAACACAUGCAAGUCGAGCGGUAGAGAGGUGCUUGCACCUCUUGAGAGCGGCGGACGGGUGAGUAAUGCCUAGGAAUCUGCCUAGUGGUGGGGGAUAACGUUCGGAAACGGACGCUAAUACCGCAUACGUCCUACGGGAGAAAGCGGGGGACCUUCGGGCCUCGCGCCAUUAGAUGAGCCUAGGUCGGAUUAGCUA
rnacentral:rRNA from 1 species